AAAACUUAUUUAUUUACAUCUUUAUUUAGCUUUGUCUUGAGUACAAAACAUAAAUAAUUAUCAUUAAUUUUGAUGUCCCAAAUUUUCAUUAUUAUUGUUUUGUUUUUAUCUCCAAUCUUGUAAGGUCUUGCAAAUGUUGCAGAUCAACCCACCACAUCAUUUAUACUCCAGUCUUGUCGAUUCACCCUUCACAAGGAGGAGGGCCUUCGAUCAAACUGGGUGACACCACAUCAGAUCACUGAUCAAGAAGCUUCACAUUGCCUUAGAAGUUCCAUUUGUUCUUCACAGCUCAUGUCUACUCCUGUAAUGUUGUCCAAGAAUGAUCUGAAACGUUGUAGCUACAAAAGCUGUUCACCUCUUUCAAAGCAGAAGAAACAAGGACAUCUUGAUGAAUAUUACCGAUAACUUCGAGGAAAAGGUUCACAAUUGGGUCGUUGUCGUUGCCGUUCCCGUCGUCGAUGCUACUUACUAUGAAUACAGGGCACGUAACGACUCGAUCCACUGAAAAGCCUGCUCGUUUGGCUCCACUACCGAUCCAAGCGAUUCAGAACUUAAUUUUCCUUCGAACUUGGCCCUGUGUUUUGUACUCGUAGUCGAUCGAAUCUUUUUCAACAAACCAGCAUAAAUAUUUGGUAAUCAUGGCUCCGAUCGAGACAUUAACUACGCCAAAAUACCUUCUUGGUUAAUUCUUGAGGGUCAGUAGUCUUUUUUAAGGCCUCGGUUGAUUUCAAAUAUUAGAGGCAGAAGAUUAAAUUCCUUUGCUACAUCGACUUCUUCAGUCUCGCAGUCAAAUUCAAAUGUCGUUUGCGCAUGUCGUUUUGCGCACAGGGC